AAAUAACUUAAGAGGCAACUCUUAACUGGCCAAUUGAGGAAAAACCGAGAGGUUCAAGCUCAGGGGGCAGAAAACUCUGCGGAGUAGCGCUAAAAUCGUAGAGUGGUCGGCAUGGCGGUAGCGCAUACAACGACGUGCCAA
ncrna:unclassified sequences IMES-2 RNA motif